GACGAACGCUGGCGGCGUGCUUAACACAUGCAAGUCGAACGGAAAGGCCCCUUUGGGGGUACUCGAGUGGCGAACGGGUGAGUAACACGUGAGUAACCUGCCCUUGACUUCGGGAUAACUUCAGGAAACUGGGGCUAAUACCGGAUAGGAAUCCUUGCUGCAUGGUGGGGGUUGGAAAGCUUCGGCGGUUUUGGAUGGACUCGCGGCUUAUCAGCUUGUUGGUGGGGUAGUGGCUUACCAAGGCUUUGACGGGUAGCCGGCCUGAGAGGGCGACCGGCCACAUUGGGACUGAGAUACGGCCCAGGCUCCUACGGGAGGCAGCAGUGGGGAAUAUUGCACAAGGGGCGGAAGCCUGAUGCAGCAACGCCGCGUGCGGGAUGACGGCCUUCGGGUUGUAAACCGCUUUCAGCAGGGGCGAAGCUUGUGGUGACGGUACCUGCAGAAGAAGCACCGGCUAACUACGUG
rnacentral:rRNA from 1 species